rnacentral:rRNA from 1 species
AACCUAUCAGGAGGGGGAACGUAACCCGGCGAAAGUCGGACUAAUACCGCAUAAAACAGGGGGUUCCACAUGGAAAUAUUUGUUAAAGAAAUUAUCGCUGAUAGAUGGGGCAUGCGUUCCCAUUAGAUAGUUGGUGAGGUAACGGUUCACCAAGUCCACGAUGGAUAGGGGGUUCUGAGAGGAAGGUCCCCCACACUGGUACUGAGACACGGACCAG